GUGGUGAAUCAGCAAGACUGCAAGUGGAGGUUCUGGGAUGUGCAGAAGAAUACACAACAACUGAAAUGACCACUAAAGUCACCACUGUCACAACACCGACAACAACUGUCAGCGAAGAAACAACAAGCUCCCGAACCACGACGUCACAAAUGUCAACUACUCCAGGUUACUGUCUAGAGCCCAUGGAUGGGGAAAAGGGACUUGAACCUGAAGUUAAGGCGGCUGGAGAUCUCACAAUUGAUAGUCAGACCUCCUACUUGACAA